rnacentral:rRNA from 1 species
AGCGAACGCUGGCGGCAGGCUUAACACAUGCAAGUCGAACGGGCACUUCGGUGCUAGUGGCAGACGGGUGAGUAACACGUGGGAACGUACCUUUCGGUUCGGAAUAAUACAGGGAAACUUGUACUAAUACCGGAUACGCCCUUCGGGGGAAAGAUUUAUCGCCGAUAGAUCGGCCCGCGUCUGAUUAGCUAGUUGGUGAGGUAAUGGCUCACCAAGGCGACGAUCAGUAGCUGGUCUGAGAGGAUGAUCAGCCACACUGGGACUGAGACACGGCCCCGUCUCCUCCGGGAGGCAGCAGUGGGGAAUAUUGGACAAUGGGCGAAAGCCUGAUCCAGCCAUGCCGCGUGAGUGAUGAAGGCCUUAGGGUUGUAAAGCUCUUUUGUCCGGGAAGAUAAUGACUGUACCGGAAGAAUAAGCCCCGGCUAACUUCGUGCCAGCCGCCGCAGUAA